CUCUUUUUGUCAAUUAUAUUUGGCUCUCCUCAUCCAUGCUUGACCAAAAUGUAAGAUCAAAAGCUUUUAUAUUUCUGUUACAUCUCAUUAUGAACUUAAAACGCAAAAUGGAGAAAUCAGAAUAUUUUUAUUGCACAGUUGAAAGUACAUCUCAUUUACAUUUGUAGCCUAUAUAUCUAACGCUUAACAGAAUAUGGUAUUUGGUAGAACAAGAAAACAUUUAAAUAAAAGAGCUUUAAAAUAGUCGUAUUAUUAUAUAAUUAACCUCACCAAUAAUGUUGGCUAAAUACUUUUGUGUUCAUUGGUCCGUUUAUUAUUUUUCAUAUAUUUUGUUUGGUCUCUGGCGUCCUGUCAAGGACAACAUAUCAACUCAUUUGAAAAACAUGUUCCCAUCACUUACAUUUAUGAGAACGCAUUCAGCAAUUAUUGCUCCAUGGAUUUUGUAUUCAUUUCAUUAUUUUCGUUGAGCCUAAAUGCUUGUUUAAGGACCAAGGGAAACAAAGUUUGUUCAGUCGGUUAUAAUGCAUCUGAAUACAACAACAAUAAGCUAUAGCUCCGACCGCUUCCCCCUGCUUCAUCACGUGUUGUCCAGACGUUUGUCAUUUUGACUGUUGGU